GAGAGGAGCGCCGCGUUCGCGUUGAUAUCCGUGGGCGGCGUAUCGUGUCAAGGAGCCGCGAGGCCACGAUUCUCACCCGUCACGAGCCAGAGACGACGGUGUGUCACAUCCGACGCGAAAUCACGUUUUUUUUUCCCUUUCUUUUUUUUAUUUAUUUUACGAAACUUUCCGCGACCCCGUUAUAAUGCGCGCACUUCACUUUCAAAAGCUUAACGAGAUCGUUUAUCGAGAUUUUAUCGUUCGUAAUGCGAGAAUUUCUAUGAUUUCUUUAUUUUUGUAUUCUGUUGAAUCGGUGAAAAUGUCACGGAUUGUGGAAGUGACGCAAAAAAUUUUACCGAAGAACUGAAAUUUGCUGCGAUUCUCGAACAAAGGAAAUAAUAUGAUAAGCAGCUCUGAACGCGCUCAAUAUUGGAAUACACAUGUGUGCAAUGAUGUAAUAUCUGCGAGAUGUAACGCGUUUUCGAGAUGAGGAGGAUCAUGUGACUUUCAUAAGAUUCAAAAUAAGUUUGAAAUUGGAAAACUUUCUAUCUUUCGCAUAUUUUAAAUAAAUUGAGAAUAUAUAUGUCUUAUUUAUAUUUUAA